CCCUUAGAUGUUCUGGGCCGCACGCGCGCUACACUGACGAAUGCAACGAGCUUAUAACCUUGGCCGAAAGGUCUGGGUAAUCUCCAAAUUUCGUCGUGAUGGGGAUAGAUUAUUGCAAUUAUUAAUCUUCAACGAGGAAUGCCUAGUAAGCGCAUGUCAUCAGCUUGCGUUGAUUACGUCCCUGCCCUUUGUACACACCGCCCGUCGCUCCUACCGAUUGAAUGGUCCGGUGAAGCGUUCGGACCGUGGCCUUUGGACGGUUCGCCGUCUGUUGGCUGCGGGAAGUUCGUUAAACCUUAUCAUUUAGAGGAAGGAGAAGUCGUAACA
rnacentral:rRNA from 1 species